ensembl:ncRNA F49E2.7 ncRNA
UUUGCUCCUCCAUGCAAAAAAUGAAGGGUAGAUAUUGUUUGGAGUUAACAAGUUUUACUCGUCUCUAUGCUUCACAUUUUGUAUUUACAAACGGGAUACAAUUGUUUGCAUGAAGUGAAGAAAACUGCAUUUUUGUU